rnacentral:rRNA from 1 species
GAUUGAACGGCUGGCGGCAUGCUUUACACAUGCAAGUCGGACGGCAGCACAGAGAAGCUUGCUUCUUGGGUGGCGAGUGGCGAACGGGUGAGUAACGAUAUCGGAACGUACCGGGCAGUGGGGGAUAACUAAUCGAAAGAUUAGCUAAUACCGCAUAUUUUCUGAGGAAGAAAGCAGGGGACCAUUUGGCCUCGCGCUGUUUGAGCGGCCGAUAUCUGAUUAGCUAGUUGGUGGGGUAAAGGCCUACCAAGGCGACGAUCAGUAGCGGGUCUGAGAGGAUGAUCCGCCACACUGGGACUGAGACACGGCCCAGACUCCUACGGGAGGCAGCAGUGGGGAAUUUUGGACAAUGGGCGCAAGCCUGAUCCAGCCAUGCCGCGUGUCUGAAGAAGGCCUUCGGGUUGUAAAGGACUUUUGUCAGGGAAGAAAAGGGCGGGGUUAAUACCCCUGUCUGAUGACGGUACCUGAAGAAUAAGCACCGGCUAACUGCGUG